CCCCUAGACGUUCUGGGCUGCACGCGCGCUACAAUAAUACGCACAGCGAGUAUCACCGAGCUCGAAAGGGCAAGGUAAACAAUAGAAAAGGUACUGUAAUGGUUAUAGAUCCUUGUAAUUAUUGAUCUUCAACGAGGAAUUCCUAGUAAGUAUGUGUCAUCAUCACGCACUGAUUACGUCCCUGCCCUUUGUACACACCGCCCGUCGUUCCUACCGAUUGGGUGAGCCGAUGAAACUCUCGGAUGUAGGCUAUUCAUAGCCCGCAGAAGAGAUUUGAAUCGUAGCGCUUAGAGGAAGGAGAAGUCGUAACA
rnacentral:rRNA from 1 species